CACUGCAAUGCAUUUAUUGUUUUCUGAAAGGAAAGCAGAAAAUAAUGGGCUGAAGACAAAGAAACUCAGUUACUGAGGAAAGACUGCCCAUGUUUAGUAAAGGUGCAUUUUGGGGGUUUUAUUUACAUUUAUUACCCAACCAGGAUGUUUUAUUUUCUUCUGAGUUAGACAGCCUAAACUUAGUGUAACACCCACUCAGCAGGUAGAUGGUGCUUUGUGGGUGGUUUCCUGGAGUGCAGUACACAAAGGGUCUCGUACAAAAGACCAUUAUUACUGCAAAAUCUGUACUAACACAAUGUUUCAUAAUAAUAGAUUCCACUUAUCAAGUCUAGUGAUUAAAAGCCACUCUGUUUUGUGCUCUACAUAUACUUAAAUCUCACCGUCACUUAUUCGAAUUGUCAUCCUUAACCCCACAUUAUAAAUGCAAACUUGAGAUCAGGUAACACAAUCAGCUGCCAUUCACAGUCACUUUUGUCAGCCUUUGGAACCUGCAGCCUUCACUAAUAUGUGCUUAAAAUUAACUUAAGUGAAGAUGUUGUUGCAUAUCUUUUGUUACAGCAUAAUUCAUAAUAGCUUUUAAAAAGUGAUUAAGUAUCCAUAACUUUUUAAAUACAUCUUCCUGGAGUGUAGGUGACUUCCAAUGUUGUGUAGUUUCCGGUGUAGAGCACCGGGAAUCAGCGAUGCACACACAAAUAUCCAGUCUUUUCCAGAUUCUUUCCCUAUAGACGACCACAGACUGUUGAAUUGAUUUCCCCGGGGCUGCAACUCAUAUCCUACCAUUAUAUUUAAGAUUGUGCACUUGGCAAACAUCUUGGCAGCGCUCACAGAAUCAAAGGGAGGUACAAGCCAAUGAGACAACCCGGGGGCCUUGAGGAUGCCAGCCCCUCCCACCUGUGUGGGAAGCCUGCUGCCCCCUCUGCUGGUGGUUUUCUCCAGAAACCCAACCACGUGUCCACGUCCAUUGGCAGACCUGAGAUCACACUGUCCACACUUAGGCUUCUCCUGGGGAAACCUGUAGUGUCUCCCCAUUCUCCUGUGGUGAGGGUUUAGGGUCUGAACCCCCAGCUGUUGGAAGGUGGGAGUUGGUGGCUUCCCUGCGGACAGUCCUCCAGGCGCUAAGGGUGGCGUCGUGGUCCCUUUAAGCUGCACUUUCCCAGGCUGGACAUCCCCCAACCUUUCAUCCGUCUUCUCUGCAGCGCGUUCUUGGACUUUCUACCUUCUGAUGACCAUUCUAACAAACCCAACCAUCACUGAACCUACCUGGGAUUGGAAAUAAACUCUACGAGAAAAGGGUGCUGCCAUCUUAUCUGCUUAAAUAUAUAUUUCUUCAAUGGAAAUAACCUUACAGAAAUGCUACAUAGGUACUUAGUGAUCCUACAACUAAAAUUAUGUCAUAAUGUGGCUGGUUUAUGGUUUUAAGAACCAUUUUUUUUCCAGUGACAGCGGACUGAGGAAGAAGGCUAAACAUCACCUCGGACUUUUAAUUUUAAAAAAGCUGCUUUCCUUUCCAAGCAAAUGCCCUCAGAGCCCUUUUGGACCAGGCUGGAGCAAAGGGAAUGAACGCUGGGAAGGACGGGCUGACUGAGAGCCUACGAGCUGGUGAAGGUGAAGAGUAUAACCUUUUUGUUGUUGUUGUUUUGUCUUUUCAGGGCCGCAUCGGCAGCAUGGAGGUUCCCAGGUGAGGGGUCUAAUCAGAGCUAUAGCCUCUGGCCUACACCACAGCCACAGCAACAGCAGCGCCAGAUUCGAGCCGUAUCUGCGACCUUCGACCGACACCACAGCCACGGCAACACCAGAUCUUUAACCCACUGAGCAAGGGGAGGGAUCAAACCUGCAACCUCAUGGUUCCUAGUCCAAUUCCUUUCCGCUGCGCCACGAUGGGAGCCAAAGAGUAGAAUCUUUAGAGUUUUUAGGAGUUCCCCUCGUGGCUCAGUGUUUAACGAAUAUAUAUAUAUAUGUGUAUAUAUGUGUGUGUGUGUGUGUGUGUGUGUGUGUGUGUGUGUGUGUGUGUGUGUGUGUGUGUGUGUGUAUGGUUCCAUUUACAAAGUUUUAGAAUCACUCUCAUUUUAAGUGUGUAGUGUGGCAAACUUGCCUAUGCUAAUAAGGAGAAAGAACUCCUGUAAAAUUAUUUCUAUGCUCAGUUCUUUAAAUUUCACAAUAUCUUAUUCAACACUGGUAGUUUUAGGGAAAAUGCACAGUUAUUUUGCCAUGAACAAAGUCAGAACUUUUGCGACUAAUGCUGUUUCUCUUAAACGUGGAUAAUUCCAAAUUGUAACUUCAGACUAUUGCUUUAGACACAUCUAUUAGCAUGCGCUGCCUGUGACACCAUCAGCCUCACUGACUCUCAUCGUCCAAGAAACACUAAGUCAAAUGUGCUACUUUCUAGUAACCUACCAUGUGCUCCUAACUCCAGAAAUUCUAUUUUUCUGCUAUUUGGCAGGAAAGCAAGAGUUUAUUUUUUUCCCUUUAUAAUUCCACACCUUUUUGGCUGCCCCCCAACAGCAGAGCACGCUGUGGAUGUAGUAAGAACAGCCGAGAGGAAAAAAGAACAUUCUAUUAAAAUUCAGGUGGACGUAGGGGUUCCUGCUGUGGCAGUAGGUUAAGGAUCCAACGUUGUCUCUCAGGUCACUGCUGAGAACAGGUUCCAUCCUCAGCAUCGACCUCCAAUUUCUCAGGUCACUGCUCUGUCUUGGAUUCGAUCCCUGGUCUGGGAACUUCCAUAUGCUGAGAAAGCUGUCGCCGCAUUGACACUCCUCUGAGCAAGGCUGUGACCGCACGCUGGGCCCCCACGUACCUCCAGCAGCCGAACCAGCCCGGGGGAGCAGAAACCAGGCCCUUGGACGUCUGGGAAGGGAAGCCCGCUUUCGCGGGGACCCGCGGCCAGGGGUCCGUGGCUUUGGAGGCCACUGACGCUCACUUUCUCCAGGUUCUUCUCUGGCUCAUCUGCUCCCUUGUUUGGGGGCCGUGUCCUCUUUCGGUCCAACCACAGGUCUUUCAGACGCCCUCCUCUCGUAUCUCAGAGGAGCAGGUGGCCGCCUGGGGACGCCUUUCCCUGUGGCUGCAACAAUGUUGCAGUUCAGGGCGCCCAGGGGGGCGGGUCUGCUGGGCCGGAUCACGGCGACCCACUGAAGGACUCACCGUGGGCCUCAGGGAACUUAGUUGGGGAGGCUUGAUGAUCGCAGGAAGGUGGAAAGCUC
rnacentral:lncRNA from 1 species